rnacentral:rRNA from 1 species
CACGCCGUAAACGAUGAUCACUGGGUGCCGGCGACACACCGUCGGUGCCUGAGCGAAAGCAUUAAGUGAUCCACCUGGGGAGUACGAUCGCAAGGUUGAAACUCAAAGGAAUUGACGGGGGCCCGCACAAGCGGAGGAACAUGUGGUUUAAUUCGAUGAUACGCGAGGAACCUUACCUGGGCUCGAACGCAUUCGGAAGCGCACGGAAACGUGCGUGCCAGCGAUGGCCGUUUGCGAGGUGC